UACGGGGGGAGCAAGCGUUGUUCGGAUUUACUGGGCGUAAAGGGCGCGUAGGCGGCCACCGCAAGUCGACUGUGAAAUCUCCGGGCUUAACCCGGAAAGGUCAGCCGAUACUGCGGGGCUAGAGUGCAGAAGGGGCAACUGGGAUUCUCGGUGUAGCGGUGAAAUGCGUAGAUACCGAGAGGAACACCUGCGGCGAAGGCGGGUUGCUGGGCUGACACUGACGCUGAAGCGCGAAAGCUAGGGGAGCGAACGGG
rnacentral:rRNA from 1 species